CCUACGGGUGGCAGCAGUGAGGAAUAUUGGUCAAUGGGCGCGAGCCUGAACCAGCCAAGUAGCGGGAAGGAUGACUGCCCUACGGGUUGUAAACUCCUUUUAUAAAGGAAUAAAGUGAGGCACGUGUGCCUUUUUGUAUGUACUUUAUGAAUAAGGAUCGGCUAACUCCGUGCCAGCAGCCGCGGUAAGACGGAGGAUCCGAGCGUUAUCCGGAUUUAUUGGGUUUAAAGGGAGCGUAGAUGAGUUGUUAAGUCAGUUGUGAAAGUUUGCGGCUCAACCGUAAAAUGGAAAUUGAUACAGGCAGCCUUGAGUACAGUUUAGGUAGGCGGAAUUCGUGGUGUAGCGGUGAAAUGCUUAGAUAUCACGAAGUACUCCGAUUGCGAAGGCAGCCUACUAAACUGCCACUGACAUUGAUGCUCGAAAGUGUGGGUAUCAAACAGGAUUAGAUACCCCAGUAGUC
rnacentral:rRNA from 1 species